rnacentral:rRNA from 1 species
GACGAACGCUGGCGGCGUGCCUAAUACAUGCAAGUCGAGCGAAGCGGCGGAUGGGUGAGUAACGCGUGGGUAACCUGCCCUUAAGUUUGGGAUACCAUUUGGAAAAAGAUGCUAAUACCGGAUACUAAAGGAUGGAGUUGAGAUGCAUAAGCUAGUUGGUAAGGUAACGGCUUACCCAGGCGAUGAUGCAUAGCCGAGUUGAGAGACUGAGCGGCCACAUUGGGACUGAGACACGGCCCAAACUCCGACGGGAGGCAGCAGUAGGGAAUCUGCCACAAUGGACGAAAGUCUGAUGGAGCAACGCCGCGUGAGUGAAGAAGGUUUUCGGAUCGUAAAGCUCUGUUGUUGGUGAAGCGGUAAUCAACCAGAAAGUCACGGCUAACUACGUGCCAGCAGCCGCGGUAAUUC